CCUGCACCUACUGGCGCCCGAGGGAAGCUUCCCUUAAACAGCCUCCCGAAGAAGAAGGAGUCUCAGAUGCAAAGCUUCUCAGCAUCGCACUUACCAUCAUCACCACCAUCCCAACAGACGACUGAGAGCUUUUUGCAAGGUCGCAAUUGACAAAGAGGACUAGGUCCUUGCGGUUUAGAGUCAGUUAAGAGUCCGUGUGAACUCAACCUUGCCUUUGGCGUUUGAUUUUCAGAGGUUUAAAAUGAACUUCUCAUUGAUGUCCCACUCUACUUGACUUAGCAGGAAAAAGACUAGAGUUGAACUUGCUAACCCAGGAAAAGUUUGUGCCUGUUAGUUAAAAAAAAAAGGGGGGGGUGGAAUUCUAAUAUCAAUGUUUCUGUAAAGUUAUAAUCUGUGGUUUACAUAUGUUAUCACUGAGGUCCAUUUGUACAUGUAUUAUUAGAUUAUCUCCAGAUAGGGAUGUGUCUUCUAUUUCCAUUUUCUCUGCCAGUGCCUUUAUUUCCUAGAAUACUGUUUUUCAUGGAUAGUGUUUUCUUUUGUAUUUCAUCUACACUUUCAUCCUCAUUCCCACUCCUUAUUUAGAAAAGAAAAUCAAGACUCCGUAGAGGAUUCCCUCCCUCUGAAAGAAUCCUCCUUGCAGUUUUUAGUUCUGUCUUCAAACAAUAUCCAUGCUUUCAAAAGACUAAUUCAGUAGUGCUUUGUGCUUCCUAGAUCCGGUAAAUAUAAAUUACACUUGUUUUACUGAUUAAACUAAGGGAAGAAAAGAGUUGGUCAUUGUAUACGCCUUGACCUCUCCCAAGGGUCGGGUCUGUUGAUCUUCUGAGUGUCUUCUUGGUAUUUUUUCCUUAUUUCCAGUGGUAUGUCCUACACAGUGCAUCCUUAGGCCAGGAGACGCAGUAGGAAAAUGACUCUACCUUUCAUGAGAAAAGGGUACCAGUUGGUAUUAGCUGAUCAGAGAGUUGCUUUAAAAAUAAAAUGCUUAUGUAUUGAUGAGACACUGAUUCAAACAAGUGUGACCUAUUUUAUCUUACCAGGUUAGUAUUGUGUUUUUUUGUUUUGUUUUGUUUUGUUUUGUUUUCCUGAAAGAGUAGGAGGAGGUGGGUAGGUUGAAAGGGGAAAGGAAAAAGUAACAAGGCAAAAUAUUGAGGUUCUGAAAGCGGUUUGGGGUUAACUGGAGGAAAAAAUAACUGAUGCCUCAUAAGCUCUGUCAACCAAGCAAAGUUAUGGCCAAGUUUUAGUAACGAUCAAAGAUCUAUGUCCUGUAAGAUUAUUUUGGGGUGGGGGGGAACAAAAAAGAGGGUGAGAAUUUUCUUC
rnacentral:lncRNA from 1 species